ensembl:lncRNA
AGGGGUGAAGUGAGAAUGUCGGAGGUCUGCGCAGCUACGGGAUCCGCCGCCCCACGCAUCCUUUCUGAAUGCUUGGACCAGCUUUGGCUCAGGAACACCCAGUCUGGCUUCAAUAGUCAUAGGAGAUCAACAGGAUGGUCACUCCAAGUGAGCCCCACCCCUCCUGUCCCUGGUCCAGCUAGGGGGAUGGACGGUGCUACUGUUUCCAAGUUGCCUGUCACCAAACUUUCAGAGAGACUAAGGGCAAAAGAUGGAGCAGGCAGCCCAAGUCACCUGUGGACAGAUGUAGAUCACUGAAAAGGACCUGAUAUUGAGCUGAAACCAGCCUUUCUGGAGCUACCACCUUGUGGAGACAAAUGGAAAUCCCUCACCUACGACCUUGAGCAGGGAAUUUAUGAGUUUAAAGUCCAAGAAGGUCCCCUAGGAAAGCACCACGGGGCCCUAAAGAGCAAAGAGAGAAGGCAGCCUGAGUCCACAGAGCUGAAACUUCACUCUCAGAGACCUCCAACCAGCUCAACUGAGAAUGGUACUAUUGGGGCAGGAGGUGCCUGAAUGAGAAAAAAGUGAGUGGCUCAAUAAGGCCUUGUUCUUCAGGUCUGUUUCAUCUGAUCUGUGGCGGUCACUGUCCCGAGGUCAGCUCCAGCU